rnacentral:rRNA from 1 species
UACGUAGGGUGCAAGCGUUGUCCGGAAUUAUUGGGCGUAAAGAGCUCGUAGGCGGUUUGUCGCGUCUGCUGUGAAAACCCAGGGCUUAACCCUGGGCCUGCAGUGGGUACGGGCAGACUAGAGUGCGGUAGGGGAGAUCGGAAUUCCUGGUGUAGCGGUGAAAUGCGCAGAUAUCAGGAGGAACACCGGUGGCGAAGGCGGAUCUCUGGGCCGUAACUGACGCUGAGGAGCGAAAGCGUGGGGAGCGAACAGG